UCUUUCUUUGCUGGCGACCGGCGCACGGGUGAGUAACACGUAUCCAACCUGCCCUUUACUCGGGGAUAGCCUUUCGAAAGAAAGAUUAAUACCCGAUAGUAUAAUGAUUCCGCAUGGUUUCAUUAUUAAAGGAUUCCGGUAAAGGAUGGGGAUGCGUUCCAUUAGGUUGUUGGUGAGGUAACGGCUCACCAAGCCUUCGAUGGAUAAGGGUUCUGAGAGGAAGGUCCCCCACAUUGGAACUGAGACACGGUCCAA
rnacentral:rRNA from 1 species